rnacentral:rRNA from 1 species
AACGAACGCUGGCGGCGUGCCUAACACAUGCAAGUCGAGCGCGAAAGCAGCAAUGCGAGUAGAGCGGCGCACGGGUGCGUAACACGUGGGUAAUCUUCCCCAAAGCUUGGGAUAACCUUCCGAAAGGUUGGCUAAUACCGAAUAAGCUCACAGGGCUUUCGAGCCUAGUGAGAAAAGGUGGCCUCUGUUUACAAGCUAUCACUUUGAGAUGAGCCCGCGGCCCAUCAGCUAGUUGGCGGGGUAAUGGCCCACCAAGGCUACGACGGGUAGCUGGUCUGAGAGGACGAUCAGCCACACUGGAACUGAGACACGGUCCAGACUCCUACGGGAGGCAGCAGUGGGGAAUUUUGCACAAUGGGCGCAAGCCUGAUGCAGCAACGCCGCAUGUGUGAUGAAGGUUUUCGGAUCGUAAAGCACUUUCGACCGGGACGAACAACCUCUGGCUAACACCCAGGGGCCUGACUGUACCGGGAGAAGAAGCACCGGCUAACUCUGUGCCAGCAGCCGCCGUAAGAC